GACAGAGGGUGCGAACGUUGUUCGGAAUUACUGGGCGUAAAGCGCGUGUAGGCGGCUCGAUAAGUCGGAUGUGAAAGCCCUGGGCUCAACCUAGGAAGUGCAUUCGAAACUGCUGAGCUUGAGUUCUGGAGAGGAAGGCGGAAUUCUCGGUGUAGAGGUGAAAUUCGUAGAUAUCGAGAGGAACACCGGUGGCGAAGGCGACCUUCUGGACAGCAACUGACGCUGAGACGCGAAAGCGUGGGGAGCAAACAGG
rnacentral:rRNA from 1 species